GCUACAGGCUUAACACAUGCAAGUCGAGGGGAAACGACAUCGAAAGCUUGCUUUUGAUGGGCGUCGACCGGCGCACGGGUGAGUAACGCGUAUCCAACCUGCCCACCACUUGGGGAUAACCUUGCGAAAGUAAGACUAAUACCCAAUGACAUCUCUAGAAGACAUCUGAAAGAGAUUAAAGAUUUAUCGGUGAUGGAUGGGGAUGCGUCUGAUUAGCUUGUUGGCGGGGUAACGGCCCACCAAGGCAACGAUCAGUAGGGGUUCUGAGAGGAAGGUCCCCCACAUUGGAACUGAGACACGGUCCAAACUCCUACGGGAGGCAGCAGUGAGGAAUAUUGGUCAAUGGACGAGAGUCUGAACCAGCCAAGUAGCGUGCAGGAUGACGGCCCUAUGGGUUGUAAACUGCUUUUAUAAGGGAAUAAAGUGAGUCUCGUGAGACUUUUUGCAUGUACCUUAUGAAUAAGGACCGGCUAAUUCCGUGCCAGCAGCCGCGGUAAUACGGAAGGUCCGGGCGUUAUCCGGAUUUAUUGGGUUUAAAGGGAGCGUAGGCCGGAGAUUAAGCGUGUUGUGAAAUGUAGACGCUCAACGUCUGCACUGCAGCGCGAACUGGUUUCCUUGAGUACGCACAAAGUGGGCGGAAUUCGUGGUGUAGCGGUGAAAUGCUUAGAUAUCACGAAGAACUCCGAUUGCGAAGGCAGCUCACUGGAGCGCAACUGACGCUGAAGCUCGAAAGUGCGGGUAUCGAACAGGAUUAGAUACCCUGGUAGUCCGCACGGUAAACGAUGGAUGCCCGCUGUUGGUCUGAAUAGGUCAGCGGCCAAGCGAAAGCAUUAAGCAUCCCACCUGGGGAGUACGCCGGCAACGGUGCAAACUCAAAUGAAUUGACGGA
rnacentral:rRNA from 1 species